GACGAACGCUGGCGGCGUGCCUAAUACAUGCAAGUCGAGCGAGCUUGCCUAGAUGAAUUUGGUGCUUGCACCAAAUGAAACUAGAUACAAGCGAGCGGCGGACGGGUGAGUAACACGUGGGUAACCUGCCCAAGAGACUGGGAUAACACCUGGAAACAGAUGCUAAUACCGGAUAACAACACUAGACGCAUGUCUAGAGUUUAAAAGAUGGUUCUGCUAUCACUCUUGGGUGGACCUGCGGUGCAUUAGCUAGUUGGUAAGGUAACGGCUUACCAAGGCAAUGAUGCAUAGCCGAGUUGAGAGACUGAUCGGCCACAUUGGGACUGAGACACGGCCCAAACUCCUACGGGAGGCAGCAGUAGGGAAUCUUCCACAAUGGACGCAAGUCUGAUGGAGCAACGCCGCGUGAGUGAAGAAGGGUUUCGGCACGUAAAGCUCUGUUGGUAGUGAAGAAAGAUAGAGGUAGUAACUGGCCUUUAUUGGACGGAAUACUAGAA
rnacentral:rRNA from 1 species